rnacentral:rRNA from 1 species
GACGAACGCUGGCGGCGUGCUUAACACAUGCAAGUCGAACGGUAAGGCCCUUCGGGGUACACGAGUGGCGAACGGGUGAGUAACACGUGGGUGAUCUGCCCUGCACUUCGGGAUAAGCCUGGGAAACUGGGUCUAAUACCGGAUAGGACCACUGCCUGCAUGGGUGGUGGUGGAAAGCUUUUGCGGUGUGGGAUGGGCCCGCGGCCUAUCAGCUGGUUGGUGGGGUGAUGGCCUACCAAGGCGACGACGGGUAGCCGGCCUGAGAGGGUGACCGGCCACACUGGGACUGAGAUACGGCCCAGACUCCUACGGGAGGCAGCAGUGGGGAAUAUUGCACAAUGGGCGCAAGCCUGAUGCAGCGACGCCACGUGAGGGAUGACGGCCUUCGGGUUGUAAACCUCUUUCAGCACCGACGAAGCGCAAGUGACGGUAGGUGCAGAAGAAGGACCGGCCAACUACGUGCCAGCAGCCGCGGUAA